UGAUCCGUCAGACGUACGAAGUACGAGGUCUGCUGUUGUGUGCGGUACAGCUGUGUAAAAGUAAAAAGGGCGGAGUAGGCGGAGGCUAUCAUCGAGAAGACGAGAUACAACGACAGUCGGAGUCAUAGCCUACGUGCUGCUGUUGGCAAGUGGUUUCUCCAAGCUCAGGCGUAUAAAUGUGAGACGGAUAAAAUCCAUUCAGCAGUUCUCAGUGUUGCGGGAGAAGAGACUGAACCUGUCUGUGGAAACAACUUCGUGUCGUAGGAACGGGUUUUUACAGUUACCCACCAUUUUCUUCAGCCAGUUUACAUUAUUUUUUUUCAUACUUGGUAUUUCAAUUAUUAUUCGAAGGAAAACAACGCUGCAUAUAAAUGAGACAAGUGAAGUCUUCGAGUUUUGAAUUCCUCGAGCCAGAUCAAAUUGAUCAAGCUGAUGUAUCAGAUCAUUUGACGGCCGCUCUUAGUCCCUACAACUCUGGCAAAAGCGGACGGGAAGGAUGGACCUGUGCAUGGGCUCCGGACAGCUCCUACUUUGCCUGGUCCAGUGGUUAUCGCAUACUGCACUUGAUUCCAUGGGACGCUAACAAAAAGAAAAGGCAUGAUCCGGCGGACACGGAAGGUUUGAAGGAGCGGAAGUACCACAUGAUAGAUUGUGGAGAGUUGAUAUGGGCUUUAGCGUUUGGAUCUGGACUACCUCAGAAAGCAUCUCACAUCUACAGACAUUGCAGUUAUGAUAAAAACCUUGUUGUUGCCACGGGUCUAGCGAGCGGAAGGAUCAAACUCUUCAACUGCUUCACAGGUUCUGUGAUUGUGGAGCUCCUGGAUCAUCGUGACACAGUUCGUGGACUCGACUUCUCCAAAGAUGGCAGCCUGCAGCUCAUGUCUGGGUCUCGCGAUGGGACCCUCAAGUUGUGGGAUCUCAACAACGAAGGGAAUAUGUAUUGCACUCAUAAAGCAAGGGCAAAAGUGAACGCCUGUAAAUUCUCCAUGAACGGAAAAUUUGCUGCCGCAGUGGGAACGAACAAAACGGUUUUGCUCUGGCACGGACCCAUCAAGGACAGUCCGUUUUACAGGCUCGAAGGACAUCACAAUGAGGUGGUUGGCGUGGACUUCAGCUCUGAUUCUGUGCUCAUGGCUACUGCAUCUUUUGAUACUCGAGUUAUCAUUUGGAACGCAUACAGGGUUCAGAGACUUCGAGAGUUGGGGCAUUUGCAUCCAAGCCCUAGUCUGAUUUUUGCUGGUGGUGCCAAUGACAACUUCGUUCGCAGUGUGAAUUUCUCUCGCGAUGGUGUGAAUGUGGCCACAGUUUGUGAUGAUGGCUUUGUUCGCUUCUGGCACUGGGAGGAGGAUGGAGACCCGGUGUCAGUGCUGCAAGUCUCUGACCCUCUCUGUGGUCAGUUUUCGUCGGACGGAACUGUUCUUGGAGUUGGUGUUAUCACAUGAUUGGAGGGAGGUUGAAAGAGAGAGAGAGAGGGAAGAGCCCACGAUCUGAACUCUCACACAAAGUCUAAACUCUGGGCUCGCUUGGAGUCUGAGAGACCCCUACACUCACAAGUUCCAGGGUUGUUCCGUUCCCCAUUGCCGCUGCACUCGAAAGUUGAAAAGUUUCAGUAGUGCCAGCGAAACGCAACGGCGGAAACCAGUAACUCGCAGCGGAGAUGCCCAGUUUGUGUGCGCCCCACAGCCGCUGCCCAGUCUCCUACAGCUGAGCCGAGUGGCCGUGCGCAAA
rnacentral:misc_RNA from 1 species